ensembl:lncRNA
GCUGGAACCGCUCGGCACCGUGGCCCCAUCUCUCUUCAGCACCGUAUCCUCAUCUCUCUUCAGCACCGUAUCCCCAUCUCUCUUCAGCACCGUAUCCUCAUCUCUCUUCAGCACCGUAUCCCCAUCUCUUCAUCUCUUCAGCACCGUAUCCCCAUCUCUCUUCAUCUCUCUUCAGCACCGUAUCCCCAUCUCUCUUCAGCUCUUCAGCACCGUAUCCCCAUCUCUCUUCAGCACCGUAUCCCCAUCUCUUCAUCUCUCUUCAGCACCGUAUCCCCAUCUCUUCAUCUCUUCAGCACCGUAUCCCCAUCUCUCUUCAGCACCGUAUCCUCAUCUCUCUUCAGCACCGUAUCCCCAUCUCUCUUCAGCACCGUAUCCUCAUCUCUCUUCAGCACCGUAUCCCCAUCUCUCUUCAUCACCGUAUCCCCAUCUCUCUUCAGCACCGUAUCCCCAUCUCUCUUCAGCACCGUAUCCCCAUCUCUUCAUCUCUUCAGCACCGUAUCCCCAUCUCUCUUCAGCACCGUAUCCUCAUCUCUCUUCAGCACCGUAUCCCCAUCUCUCUUCAGCACCGUAUCCCCCUCUCUCUUCAGCACCGUAUCCCCAUCUCUCUUCAGCACCGUAUCCCCCUCUCUCUUCAGCACCGUAUCCCCAUCUCUUCAUCUCUUCAGCACCGUAUCCCCAUCUCUCUUCAUCUCUCUUCAGCACCGUAUCCCCAUCUCUCUUCAGCUCUUCAGCACCGUAUCCCCAUCUCUCUUCAGCUCUUCAGCACCGUAUCCCCAUCUCUCUUCAGCACCGUAGCCCCAUCUCUCUUCAGCACCGUAUCCCCAUCUCUUUUCAGCACCGUAUCCCCAUCUCUCUUCAUCUCUUCAGCACCGUAUCCCCAUCUCUCUUCAGCACCGUAUCCCCAUCUCUUCAUCUCUCUUCAGCACCGUAUCCCCAUCUCUUCAUCUCUUCAGCACCGUAUCCCCAUCUCUCUUCAGCACCAUAUCCCCAUCUCUCUUCAGCACCAUAUCCCCAUCUCUUCAGCACCGUAUCCCCAUCUCUUCAUCUCUCUUCAGCACCGUAUCCCCAUCUCUUCAUCUCUUCAGCACCGUAUCCCCAUCUCUCUUCAGCACCGUAUCCCCAUCUCUCUUCAUCUCUCUUCAGCACCGUAUCCCCAUCUCUCUUCAGCACCGUAUCCCCAUCUCUCUUCAUCUCUCUUCAGCACCGUAGCCCCAUCUCUCUUCAGCACCGUAUCCCCAUCUCUCUUCAGCACCGUAUCCCCAUCUCUUCAUCUCUCUUCAGCACCGUAUCCCCAUCUCUCUUCAGCACCGUAUCCCCAUCUCUCUUCAGCACCGUAUCCCCAUCUCUUCAUCUCUCUUCAGCACCGUAUCCCCAUCUCUCUUCAGCACCGUAUCCCCAUCUCUCUUCAGCACCGUAUCCCCAUCUCUCUUCAUCUCUCUUCAGCACCGUAUCCCCAUCUCUCUUCAGCACCGUAUCCCCAUCUCUCUUCAGCACCGUAUCCCCAUCUCUUUUCAGCACCGUAGCCCCAUCUCUCUUCAUCUCUUCAGCAGCAGUAUUUGUCUCAGCAGCAGAGGCUUUGCACAACUCCCAGCCCAGCCGGCAUGGAGGCCAGGCUCCAGCUGAAGGGAGAAUAUGUAUUUGCAAAGCUAAGCCCGAGCUUGGGGCCCAUUAGUACCAUGU